rnacentral:rRNA from 1 species
UCUACGGGAGGCAGCAGUGGGGAAUAUUGGACAAUGGGCGAAAGCCUGAUCCAGCCAUGCCGCGUGUGUGAAGAAGGCCUUUUGGUUGUAAAGCACUUUAAGCGAGGAGGAGGCUACCGAGAUUAAUACUCUUGGAUAGUGGACGUUACUCGCAGAAUAAGCACCGGCUAACUCUGUGCCAGCAGCCGCGGUAAUA